rnacentral:tRNA from 1 species
GGUAUGUAACUCGGUGGCAGAGCACUUGUCUAGCAUGCAUGAGGCCCUGGGUUUGAUUCCCAGGACCA